GGUGUUCUCCUCUCAGGAUUGAGGAGCUGUAGGCUGGGUGCUGCUUCUGUUCUGCCCUGGGAACCCUUGGGCUUGGAGAGAAGCCUGAAGAUGGGCUGGGGAGACAUGAUCUGGGAUAUUCCCCCCUCCUGAUGUUUGGUACCAGUGCAGUAGGAAAGUCCAGGUUUCCAUCUAGCUCAGGAUUUCUUGGUCAUGGGACCAGAACUCUGGGAGAUGCUGGAGUUUGAGGGGGUAUUGUGCUAGCUCUGAUGUAGAGCUGCCUCCUGUCAUGAAGUAAACAGCACUUGCUGCAACUGGCAGACUUCUGUUUGUUUCCCUCAGAGCAUUUAGAGGGCUGUGUAGCUGCUGGGCUGUUCCCAACAGGUGUGAGGUCCUUGUCUGUGCAGUGUAAUGAAUCGUAUUCCACUGAGACUUGAAUGAGCCUCCAGGAAUUUGUGAGCUGAUGAAGGGAUUUCUGAGCCAAAGUUCCCGACCUGAAUAAGGUUGGCAGCUCUAGUGGACACGCCGAUUGCUGGUGAUUGUGCCCUUCUGGCUGUGGAGCACCUUGGGGAAGCAGUGGCCUGAAGCUGUUCUUGUCUCUGGCAGUUGCGGGGCACGCUUGGAUCUCUGCUGCAGCUCUUCUGGUGUGUAUGACGGGUGGUUUUCAGGGAUGUGAUGGGCAGCAUUGCAGCCUGGAGCGCUUGUCUGGCGGUGCUCAGGGGUGUAAUGGCCUGCCGGGUUCCUCCUCUGCCUCUGUCCCAGGGCGGAGCUGUCCUGCCCUUUCAAGCAGCCCUUCCUUUCCUGGGCAGUUGAUCCGUGCUGUGCUUGAGGGAGAGAUCUUGGUUGUGGCUGUGUCCUGCCUGCCUCGGCUGGCAAAUGCUGCGGUUGUGGUUGGCGUGUGGCCGUGGGGAUCCUGGGGACAGUACCCUGGAGUGAGUGCAGUGAUCCCUGAGGUUGAAGAGAGGCUUGGGAUGAGGCGAAGAGACUUGGAGCCACCAUUUUCCCAGAAUGACACUUCUGCUGAAAGCUCCUGCUCAGAAAGUGAACAUAACCUUGUCUUCUCCACGUCACCGACACGCAUGUGUCAAAGAGGGGGACCCAGAAGUUCUCGGGGCCCUGGCAGCGAGAGCAGCAGCAAAUGGUGUUGGAGAGUUUCUGUGAGCCCCUGUUUGGUGUUCCAGGUGCUGCAAGGCUUUGGCCCAACUGCUGGGAGCCACUGGACCCUUGAUGAGCAUUGACUGCGCUUGUGGAGGGCCUGGCCACGUGGGCAUUCCUGGGAGGAGGAGGUUUGUGAGUGGAAUGGCCGAUCUGCAUGAGACAGGGGGUGAACUCUCACUGCCUAGAGGCUGCAGCUGGGCCUUUGAGGGGAUGAGAGGCAAAUCCUGCCAGGAGCUGGAGCCUCUUCUCCUGCUAACAGCCCUCCCUGACACACCUGGCCCAGCUGUGAAAGUUUCUUUUCCCUUAUGUGUUUCCUUAAGUAGUAAUUUCAUCCUUUUGUAUUGCUGUGUGACAGCAGAUAGUAAGAACCCGUUGGCUGCAUAGGUGCUUUUCAUUGCAGCCAAAUGGUUUGAAAUGAAGCCUGUAGGUCUAUCUGUGUACGUGUUUGCAAACAGGGUUCUUCCAGUCUUUCACUCUAAGCCACCCCAAAGAGAUUUGUAAACAAGAACCGAAGUAGCUCUGACCUUGCCGGGGAUGGAACCACCAUGUGUAAAACAACAAGGCUGUGUUUAUUUUAUCUCUUUACUCCAAGUGCCCUGGAGUGAGUGCAGUGACCCCUAAAGUUGGAGAGGCGCUUGGGAUGACACAAGGAGACUUGGAGAAACCAUUUUGCAGACUCACACUUGUGUUGAAAGCUCUGUGGCAGUGCUGAGUGUUGCAGAGUGGCUUGAAGGGCUUGCGAGAGCCGACCAGGGAAUGGAGGAAUUGGCUCCAGCGGGGUCCUUGGCAAAUGCUGGAUGAGAACUGACACAGAAUUUCUUGAGACCCUGGCAGAGAGAGAGAAGCAGCAAAUGGUGUUGGGAGAGUUUCUGUGAGUACCUGUGAGAUCAUGGGCUUCUUACAGCUUAAGAAAGGAUCUGGAUAGGAAAAGACCUCUUUUUCCAUGAAACCCUCAUGUGGAACAUCUGAACAAAGAGGAUGGGAUGAGACUUCUUGGAGCCUAGAAAUGAGGUGAUGUGAGUAUUUUUGAUAGCAGCAGAGCAUCUGGAACCAGUUGGCAGAAGACUCUGCAAGGUAAGUGCAGAGCUGAAUGAUACAAGCAGGAAAACAUCUGGGGCUGGGUUUGGACUUCUCAAGGCCUUGUAGAUUCCUCUCUCCAACCGCCACUUGUCAGUAGAGCUGGAUCGCUAUCCUUCAGCGGACCGUCAGUGUCUGGUGUUCCUGGCAUUUUAGUAGCUUGAGUUUUUCCCAAGGAAGAGCAUCCUGGUCUUGCUCUUGUGUUGAGACAGCUUAGUGCCCUUUUGGACCUCCUUCAAGGAGUAGGAGGAGCCUGGAUUUGUGUUUCUUGGAUGGUGCCGACCUUCAAGACAAGGACUAAAGGGGAGUGCCAAGGCAACAGGGCCGGCUCUGGAAGUCAGGAAUGGUUGUGCUCUUCUGUCCUGGUUCUGCUUAAGAGAUGGCUCAGGGCUGCUGAAGUGCUGAGGGCUGAACAAACAGCCCUCACCUUUGAGCCAAAGCUGAGCUCUUGAUGGAACCUUCCAGCCUAAUGCUGUGUUUGUACGUGUUCAUUAACAAAGUCCACAGGAUCAUUAGCGUUAGGGCCUAGGUAUCUGCUCACUGACAAAACAGGGAUUGACCUUUCUGUGCCUGAGAAGCUGGACAAAGCCACAAAAUCAGACCUCUUGCCUUGCUGGCAGCUCCUGGGUUUUUCCCCGAGCCCCGGCCAGGCUUGGGGCCCAAUCCACGAGGAAGCCGAGCCCGGCUGUUGCCGUACUGGACGUUGUGUCAGGCUGUUGCUGGCACCCAAUUGUCCGAGCUGGGCCCUGUCCCAGCAGAGCUGUAAGUCUCUUUGCCGGCGGGUGGACGCGCCCAUGGGAAGUCCCGGUUAUGGGAGAGGCUCUCCAGUGCUUGGCUGGGACAGGGGGUUCCCAGCUCACGGGCUGUGGCUCUGGAGGAUGGUGCAGCCUUAGGCUGUGACUGGUGCUGUAUCUUAAUCACUGUGGGCAAUUGGCCAAACGCAGGCACCCAUGAAAGUUGUUCACUCGCUCUCUGCUGCUCUAGUUGGGCAAAGGAGAGGGGGGAAAAAAAAUUAAUGAGGUGUUCAUGAGUUAAUAACUGGGAGAAAAACACUCUACGGUCAAAACAGGUUCAAAUUUAAAGAUGUAAGGUUAAUUUAUUAUUAACAGAGUCAGGGAAUGAUAGUGUGAAGUAAAUUAAGCCUUUAAAACACCUUGUAUUUUUUUCCCUCCCAGCCCCUUCCUCUUUCCUACCGACAGUGCAGGAAGACAGGGCAUGGGGGUUUUGGUCAGCUCAUUAUUUGAAUUUUUCUUCUGUUUGCUCAGGGAGAGGAGGUUUUUUUUUUUUUUUUUUUUUUUUCCUCUGGUAUGCUGUAGGGUCCCUCCUGCAGGCCAAGAGCCUUUCCAGAGCUGUUGUGUCACAGGUUCCUCAUGCACAGGGUGCAGUUUUUUAGGGCUUGGUUGCUCUAGUUUAGAGGCAAGGGCUCUCUUUAUCUCUAGAAGCAGGUGCCCUCUCUCUCUUCCUAUUCAGGUCUCCCACUGGAUCAAAGCGCUCUCUGGCUUCCACCCCCUCUCAGCCCCCCAUGAGUGCUUUCCCCACGGGCUGUGAGUGGAUCUCUGCAUCCUCUGUGGACUUAAUGCAAAGUGACAGGGCCACAACUUGUUUCAUCACAGUCCUCACUACAGUUUGCAGAGGAAUCUCAGCUGUGCUGAGCACUUCUUCCCUCUUUUGUCCGUUGACCUUGGUGCCACCAUGUUGUUUUCCAGCACAUUCUCACUUCCUCCUCUUCUCUGACUAGAAGAAAAGCUGCUGCUCGUAGGUGCUACUGCUAGAAGGUCUCACCAUGUCCUGGUUUGGGACAAAUUUGGGAGAAAAACCCUUGUAUAGGAUCCCUCUAAGGAAGCAAACCCAAGUGACCCCUCCCUCCAACCGGUCCGGUAAAAAAACCUCUUUGGAGAAAAGUGGAAAAAACUAUU